UUUUUGUCUAGGAAGUGCAGGAUGUACACACUGCUGUGGUGCCUGGAUUCUGUGGCUGUGGUGGCUGAACCUGGUUGUGCCAGCAUGCUUUGUUUCACUCAGCACAGUAGAAUAUGUCAAGCGGUAAUUCUUGUGGAUGCCCCCUAAGCUACUUUGCUUCUACCUUGCUAUUAGAGGGCUAUGAGCACAGAGAUAAAUUUGCUGCUCCAGGUACUUUAGAGAGGUCUCUCAAUUCCUCUCUUCUGGCAUCAGAGAUGGAGCAUCCCCCGAGGAAAACCCUGAAAGUCCUGGGAACGCCGUGCACAGAGGCUGCCGUGACUGGAGGCCUUCUCCGCAGUGACAUAUAAAACUCUGAGGUCAGGGGGCACAGCGAGAGGAGGAAUCAGCUUUGUUUCCGCUAUGUGUUGCUGAAAGCUAAACCUUUAUGGAACUUUUCGAGCUGCAUUUUUGGCUAUUUAGCUUGGAAAACAAAAGAUUUAUUUAUUUUUUCCUAUUCAUCGCAGUUUUUGUCCUAAGCUGACAGCAGUGACAUAAGAAGGACCCUCCCUGCUCUGAGCUGGAGUUGUGCAUGCUCCAUCAACCAUCACUGCUUCAGAACAAAUAUUAUACGAUCUUUAAGGGAAAGGAGAAGAACAGAAAAAUGAUCGCUGAGGGCCAAUGUAAACACUCAUGACAUAAAUUCAUUCUUCCAAAUAAGAAAAGUAAAAAUCUCCCUGGCAAGUAAAAUACAUUGAUCAGAACAUAUACAGUACUAGAUGGUGUCCAGAAAUCCAGCUGUGUGUCUUCACAAUCCACUCAGCUUCAGAUCAAACCAGAGCAAUAUUCCCAAGGACACGGGGUGAUACAGCCGGAGGUUGGCUUGCCUCCUAGAUAACCCUGAGCAGUGCUGAAUAAUUCUUUGAACUCAAAGCAAUUUGCGACUGUGUUCAGAAAUAACACACAAACUUGCCAAAAUCCAGGAGUGUAUCAGCAACCAAAGUGUAUUUUUCCAGUGCCUGUAAUGAUAAGCUGAUGCAGAGUUCUGUUUUCUCUUUGGAGCAGAGCUAGCACUUGCGGUAUGCUAGAGGAUUUCCCAUGCCAAAGAUGCAAUUCAUGUCCUAAAGAGUGUGCAGUCAAGAAUAAUGUUUUAAAAUCUUUGUCCUUUAUCAAAGGAUCUGGAUAGACUUCAAAGAACAUUUUAAUCCCUAUCUUAAAGCUGGAAAAGCUCAGGCAAGGAGGAAUGACAUGGCUUCCCCAAGGUGAUCUGCUGAGUUGGUGUCAGAUAGGGAGGAAGAUCCUGUGUUUCCUGCCUGCUGCAUGGAUGCUGUGUCUCAUCGUGCUGGCAAGGUCAGUGCCACGUGCUGUGCAGACCAGACCGAUGUGCUGGUUGCAGACUUUAAGUGAGAGAUGCUGAAUACUGUUUACAAAUGUGGGACUUGUUGUGGGGCACAGGACAUAUUCAAGCUCAACAGCCCAAACAGUCUUGUGGUUGCUGCAAGUCAUUGCAAUUCUUCAACAUUUUAGAGUUUGAAGAGUACCACCACAUGAGAUCAGCAUCUUAGGUUAGGUGACUGCAGUGAUUUUGGUCCAGAGCCCUAAAACUAAAUGUAGAUCCAUAUCCUGGAAGUAAUUCUGUGAUACACAGCCAACUGUGCUUAAAGGAAAAGAGCUUCAGAUAGAACCUGUCCUUGUACUUGCAAGAUCUAGUAUGUGUAUUUCUGCAGCAAGGUCUCAAGUAAAAAUCUUGUUAGAUCACAGAAGGUUUAAUAGGUUUCAUCAAGCUGCAGCUGUCUUGUUCAGUGCUUCUCAGAGGAGAUGGCAGCAGUACAAUUUUUCCAGGACACAGGAAUGAGAAGCAGCUGUAGCUAAUAACUGCAGGUAUACACAUGUAUCUGUAAUUAGAGGUAGUUUACAGUUUCCUGGCUUUAAGUGCUUGCAACUGAUAUUUAUUCUUGCUUUUCACCCGUCUUUGGAGGAACUGGACUACUGCUGUCUGGUCCAGUUGGUGGUGAGCAAGAUGGAAAUAGCAUGAUCGAUUUUAAUGGAGUUUCUUAAAUGUGUACAAUGUGAAAAUACAACUAUUUGCUAAAAAUCAGGUUACUCAUUUCAAAUGGAAGUGUUUGGCUAUGAAUGUAUUUUGAAUACCGUGUUGCAUGAUGACAAACAACUCCAGAAGAGAUCAGAAUUACUGUACAUUUGAAAAAAAUUAUUCAAACUGUGUGGAAAGAAUGCAGCAAUUGUCUGUUCAGGCAGUUGUCCUCAGGGCAGCGUUUUGUGAAUAUGUAAAAUAGUUAUGUAUUAAAUGGGAGGCCCAAGU
rnacentral:lncRNA from 1 species